AUGGCCGGUCUCCUCCACCUCCACUCCACGCUGCUGCCCUCGGCGUCCCUGCUCCGCCAACGCGGCGGCGCGCAGGCCGUGCCGCGGCGCCGGCGCGCGUGCCGGGUAGAGGCCAAGAUCCGGGAGAUCUUCAUGCCGGCCCUCAGUUCCACCAUGACGGAGGGCAAGAUCGUCGCCUGGAACGCCGCCGAGGGGGACCGCCUCGCCAAGGGCGACCCUGUUGUUGUCGUGGAGUCUGAUAAGGCCGACAUGGACGUCGAGACCUUCCACGACGGGUUCCUCGCCGCCGUACUCGUCCCCGCGGGAGAGUCCGCGCCCGUCGGCUCCGCCAUCGCGCUCCUCGCCGAGUCCGAGGAGGAGAUCCCGCUCGCCCGGUCCCAGGCUGCCAACUUCUCCUCCUCCGCCGCCGCCUCGCCGCCGGCCCCCCAGGAAACCGUCGCCCAAGAAACGUCCCCUGCUCCGCCUCCUCCGGCGCCCGUAGCAGUCUCUGCGCCAGCACUGCCCUCACCGGCCACACAGGGCGGGGCGCGCGUGGUUGCCUCGCCUUAUGCCAAGAAGCUCGCAAAGGAGCUCAGCGUUGAUCUAUUCGCAGUCAGUGGCUCUGGCCCAGGGGGGAGAGUUGUGGCAAAGGACGUAGAGGCUGCGGCAGCUGCCCCCAAGAAAGCUGGGCCAGAGCCAGCUGCUCGACCAGAUGUUCCAUUGGGAUCCACGGCGCCAUUCACCACAAUGCAGGGCGCUGUGAGCAAGAACAUGGUGGAGAGCCUUGCUGUGCCGGCGUUCAGGGUCGGGUACACCAUCACAACCGAUGCUCUCGAUGUGCUCUACAAGAAAAUUAAGGCAAAGGGUGUGACAAUGACAGCGCUGCUGGCGAAGGCUACAGCGAUGGCGCUGGUGCAGCAUCCUGUGGUGAACUCCAGCUGCAGAGAUGGGCAGAGCUUUACUUACAACAGUAGCAUCAACAUUGCUGUCGCGGUGGCCAUCGAUGGUGGAUUGAUAACCCCCGUGCUCCAGGAUGCUGAUAAGCUUGAUAUUUAUUCACUGUCAAGGAAAUGGAAGGAGCUGGUUGAUAAGGCUCGGGCAAAGCAGCUGCAGCCCCAGGAGUACAACUCUGGUACCUUUACUCUUUCAAACCUCGGUAUGUUUGGAGUUGAUAGAUUCGAUGCGAUCUUGCCACCUGGAACUGGAGCAAUCAUGGCUGUUGGCUCAUCACAACCGACAGUUGUUGGUACAAAAGAUGGUAGAAUUGGGAUCAAGAGCCAAAUGCAGGUCAAUGUUACUGCUGAUCAUCGGGUUAUUUAUGGAUCUGAUCUUGCCGCUUUUCUGCAAACUCUGUCCAAGAUAAUUGAGGAUCCCAAGGACCUUACAUUCUAG
rnacentral:rRNA from 1 species